AUAGAAAAGAAAAGGGGAAGCGGCAGCGAGAGAAAAGAGAAGAGGCAGCCAGACCUAGCCCGCGCCCCCGCAGCCGCCUCCUCUCCUGCCGCCGCCUCCUCUCCUGCCACCGCCGUCGCCUCGGCCUCGGCUGGCCCGUGCUCUGCCGACGCCCGUCGGCCUCGAUCCGGCCUCGGCAGGAGGGAAGCAGCAGCCUCGCCCCGUGCUCCGUCGGUGCCCGUCGGCCUCGACCCGUCAUCGGCAGGAGAGUGCUUGGGGGAGGAGAGGAAGGCGGUGCUCCAGGCAGGGGUGUUGGGUAGAGAGAUAUGGCGGCAGCAGCAGCAGCAGCUCGUCUCUCCUCUUCGUCUCAUCUCAUGGAUGAGGGCGUCGGCUCCAGAAGCUCUAGGAGUGGAAGACGUCUUCCUCCAGAAUUUGGUCGAGGAUUUUGUUGCAACGACACUAUGCUGACUUUUUGUGUUUUUGGAAUUUGUUAAUGAAAUUCUGGUUAAGCGCUUUGACUUGGCCAGUGAUCUUGUCUCAAAUUACAGUUUUGGAAUUUGUCAAUGAAAUUCUACAAUCAGGUAAACCUUUUGUUUGGUCUAUUCGUCGAUAGAAUAUUCUAGACACUUGACUAGAUGUUGUAUACCAAGCAGUUCAUCAAUUCUCUUGCUGGCCUGUAGUGUUCGCCAUCAUGUAAUUUUAGGAACAAAAUUAAGAGAAAACUUACUGCAUUUUAUGUGUGAGCCAUUGAGGAUUUCUGAUAGUCUUUACAUUAUAAUGUUUUUGGUGCAGACCAUCGAUUUUACUAAGUCUUCGUCUAUUACUUUUUGCAAAUUUCAGCAUGAAUAUGCAUUCGAAAUUGUUCUCAGUUAUGCAUAUAUUCAUUUUCUUAGAUGUGCAGUAUGCAAUCAUGUUCUUUUCUUGCGAUGCUUUUGGCAUGUUAAUCUUUCAUUUGAAGGAGAAUCACCAAGCGGAAUUGAGACUAUUAUCAAAAAUCCUCAUUUUGUAGAAGGGUUAAGCAAUUGGUCCGGACAAAAUGUAAUAUCCGCAGGCAUGAGUUAACUGCAUAUGGGAAUGUAAAUCACAUAAAUGGCAGCUACUUUGCAUCAGUAACAGGACAGGUUCACAGUUGGAAUGGCAUACAACAAGAUAUCACAGGCAGUGUAAAGAAAAGUUUCUUACGAGAUUAGUUCUCCUGUUUGCAGAUUUGGCAGUGCUAAUGAUACUAAAGUUCAUGCUACUUUGUGGGUAUAAGAAUAUGGCUGUGAACAAUAGCUAUGCAUUUCAAAGGUUACAGAUGCCACAAGGCUUGCCUAACAAAGGUUCACUGAAAAGGAAUGGCUUGACAAAAAAAGGCCAGCCUCGAAGCGACAUGUUGUGUGUGUGCUUCUGUCCGGGUGAAAGCAUGGGCAAAUCGAUCAUGGGUUGUCAGGUGCGUGGGUGGGUUCGCGCAGGCGGGUGGGUGGAUUCAAGCCGUCUACUCGCACCAUGCUCGCUUCCACCUAGCCGCGACUCUUCCUCAUCAAAGAGCCUUGGGCCCAUUCGUCGGUCUCUUGGGUACAUGCGCCUGGUGAGGUCCUUCAUUUACCCGCCUGUCUCUCUCCCUUUACCCUCGUCACCACCAAUCCCUUUCGUCCUCGAUCCCUGCCUCCCCAUCCAGUUCCCAUUCGCCGUUCUCCUCGCUCCCAUCCACGGCGAGCGGGACGGCCGUGAGAGAAUAUCAGUGGGGGCGCGCGUAGAGCCUGAGAGCCGGCGGAAGCAGGGGCUGGGUGUUCGCGGCCGACGGGGUCUGGCGGGCGUGGCGGGUGUGGCGGCAGCUGGAAGGGCAGCAACGGCGCGUCGACCAGACCGGCAGCGACCCCGAGGGGAAGGGACCGGCAGACGCAUACAAGCGGGAGAGGCUUGGGGGCCUCGUGGAUUGGGAUGGCGGUCGCCCGAGUUUCUUCGCUUGAUCUGGAGAGGGCCAUGGCAGUGCACGUGAGGGGCGGAGGCGAGCGACCCUAUGGAGCCGCACACAUCGACAGGGAGAAGCUCGAGCCGCAGCGGGUCCAUGGCGCCAUCGCUGUCACAGCAGGAGGAGCGUGGGCCGCAGAGACGUCCGGAUCUGUCCAGCCCUCACGCCGCCGUCCGGCCACCCUAGAGAGCAAAGCAGGCCAACAUCUUUGCUGCAACAUCUUUGCUGCACUGGACCGGCUCUACAUCCGUGGUGGCGGGCACGGCCUCCGCUGCCGGGUGCACGAUGAGGCGCUCGAGGGGUAGGGCCGCUUGCGGCACAGGUGCCCGUCGUGUAUCCCAGCGGGGCACCCGAGGCAGCUGCAACUGGCCGGCGAGUUUGGCUGAUUUCAACAUGUCAAGAAGAAGACCAUGGCUACCGGAGGACUAUAUGAACAAGGCUCGCCAGGUCCUGCAUCAUCAACUAACAGCCAACUCCAAACGAUUACUCAGAAUAUCCCAACAAAAGGCAGAAUUCCUUGUAGGAUAAAUAAAACUGCAUCUGAUGCUAACAAGUCUAGGAAUUCCAGAGGCCGAGUAUCGUUGCAGGGUAUAUGCGAACAACAAAAUCUAUGCCACAACUCUUUUCAGUACAUCUAUGGUACCACUCAAAGGUGUCCUCAUUUCGGGAUAGUAAGUCCGAUGACAAGAGAUUCUACAUAUUUUCUCCCACAAAGGCACUUAAGUUGAAGACAUGUUCAAAAGAUGACCGUGUCUCUGUGGUCGAGGCCUUGGUCUUGGUCAGGAGUGUUUAUUCGCUCAGGUUGCUUAGUGGAAGAAUAACUUUGGUGCAUAGUGACAUUUCUAUUUUGACUGCAAGGAAUCAAAAUCGGAUGCACCAGGAGGCUUUAAACGAGAGUCUUAUACAGGAUUGAGAAUAGAUUAUGCUUUCGGAGUUUUCAUGCUACUGAAAGCAACUGAAGCUACGCUAUGAGGAUCAUCUAAGCUUGUUUGGAUCCAGUAGAUACCAUUUUUGAGCGAGUUUUUCUGAAGAUGUGUCAAUGUUCAACCUGGAGAAUGUUCAUGUAAAGGCUAGUACACAAGCAUGUCUACUUUACCAUAUGGAUGGUGGAUUUACAGGACAAAUUUAUGCACCAGCUUUGAAUUCCAUGACGUCGCACGGACUAUGUGGAACCCACUGAUUCAUAGUGAUGUAUUUUCUUCGAGAAAGAGAGGACUGUGCAAUCAGGAGUACAAUAUGUGAUCAUCAAGUGUAAGAAAUGGCAAGAAUAUGUGGUAUGUAUUUCAGUCUGCGUACUAACGAAGUGUAUUGACUGUUCAUGCUGCUAUAAUAAGCUCGAUGAUUUACUAUGGAAACAGAAAAACACUUAAGAAGCAUCUUAAUUUUUAUGUACUGAGAUUUUAGAGGCUGUUAUUGACAUUGAUUUCCUUUAUGCUAGAGAUGCUGGUAAGAAAUCUACAUGAGAACAUACUUUGGUUUAAUUCUUGGUUAGCACUUAUCUGUUCUUUGCAUUCAAAGAACUCAUUUGUUUCUUAAAAAAAAAGAUAAGAAAUAUUGCAAUCUUAAUUGGCACAGUUUGGCCCUUUCAUCACUUGGUAUAUAGUAUUUCUUAGAUACACCAACAAUGAAUUUUGGUUAGCACAAGAAAUUGAUACAGUACAAUAGAUUAACUAUUGCGGUAGAUUUAUUGAUUUUUGUCGGGUUGUGGUAUCUAUCUGUAGCAUCUGGAAGAUGCCAAAAAUACAAUAAGCCUUUUUUCACAAGGUUUUUUGGUGUUGCUCAAUGCUCAUUACCUCUGGUAUUAUUUUCUCUUUUAGUCCUUUACUACUAUUAUCUCGUGCUUCUAAAUAUUAUGAAAAACGUUCGAGUGAAUCAAAGACUGUACAUAUGAGAAGGUAUGUGAGUUUGUUGCAUUUUAGAGAAUAGCCACACCUCCCUUGCGUUUGCAUAGAACAAGGAUGACAAACUUUGGUUUAAUUUGGUCAGCACGUAACUCAUUUGUUUUGUAAAAGAAGAUAACAAAUAUUGCAAUCUUAAUUGGCGCAGUUUGGCCCUUUCAUCUCUUGGUAUGUAGUGUUUUUUAGAUACACCAACAAUGAAUUUUCUUAGAUACACUAAAUGAUGAACAUGGCAUAUGUUAGGAUGCAUAGCAUAAUGUAUAUGUUAAUUAGAAAAUACUCUUUAGCAUCUGAAACAUCUAAAAGCCAUCACUCAACUAUGUAUUAUAUACAAUAUACCCAGCUCAAUGAUUGGAGCAGUCCGAGCCACUUAUUAGUACUCAACAUUGAAUCACUCAUCUAAGUAUCAACACGACUUGCCUAUUAACAUAGUAGUGCUAGGUCCUCGGUGUUCGUUCUUACUCUCUAUUUUCCGAGUCUUUGGUCUCUAUUCACAUUUCGUUUUCUAUUUUCAUAUCACUCUGUAUUCACUCGGUAUCUUGGUUUCUCUUUGUUUAGUCUCCCGUACCUCUUUUUUCCAUUUGUAUGUCUAAGGUAAGAAUGAGAGAUUAGAUAAACAAACAGGAAAGUGCUUACUUUGUUCAGUGGAUGCAUUCCGUCACUGUCCAUCAACAAGUUCAACUCCGGCGAUGGUUCACCGAUGUGGGCCGAUGCACCACGUCAGGAACGUCAAUGGCCUGACAGGCCAUUUUCCAACUGGGCCUGUUGUAAAUGACGAGACCAUGAGGAUGCAGACAGUAAUGUUGCUCCUGGUAUAGUUAUUUAGUGAAGUUAUAAGCUUCUCCUUUUGGAGUUUACUUCUACGAGUGAUUAGUCCCUGCAUCUUGUUCUAUUUUUCAGAAAAUGAAUAUAUACUUUGUCGUGCCACUAAUCUCAGCAAAAUAGCAGAUCAUGAUGCCCCUCGUGCUAUAGUGGAAUUGAAUCACAAAAAUUCUACAUAUUCAUAAAACACCGAAGGAGGUUAGUUUUUACCUGAGCGGCAAUGGCGACUGCCGUGGGCUUGCUGGAGCCUCCCUAGCCAUGGAAAGUCACCAGCUUCAGGGAGUGCCAGGCUGCCAGAAGAGACGCCACCUUCGGCAGGGAGCGACAACAACAACCGUGAGGAUUUGGCUCGCCGAUACGAGUGACAGCGGCGCCAUCUGCAGAUUCCGCAGCUCCGAGUUGUAGCGGGAGCUGCCAGGCUGCCCAGAUGCAGAUGGAGCAGCUGCGGUGCUGCGCCUUCGAGCUGCUGGGCCGCCGAGAUGCAGUUGGAGCCGCAGUGCCUUCGAGCUGCAGCGUGAUCCGCUCCCCCGUGAAGUUGCAGCGUGAUCCACCGCGAAGAUGGAGCCCAGCGUGAAUCGCCUUCACCAGGUGUUUUCUCCAGUACAGUGGGGAGAGGAAGAGGAUGAACUGAUCGAUGGAAUGAAGGCUGACAAUCCACCACGUGGUUAUCUCUGGCGUUAUAUGUGCAACCCGUGUGUAUAGGUGUCAACCCGUGUGUAUAGGUGUCCAGACUCCAGAGUGUGUGGUUCUUUCUCAGAAUGUCACGGUUGUAUUGUUAUCUUUGGUGCUAAUUUGUACUUUAUGUAACUGGUAUAAUCUGUAUUGUUUCAUCAAAUUUAUUCCCACUUAUCUUAA